rnacentral:lncRNA from 1 species
AUAUGUGCUUCAUUGAGAUAAGUAAGACGUCUGAGAUUAGGAUCAUAGACCUGUCAAAUAAUUCGUGUUAGAAUCAUUGAAAUAUUUUGUUAUUAUUUUAAUAUGUUUCAAAUUAGAAAUUAAAGGGAAAAAGUGCAUAUGAAGAAGUAAUGAGAUUAAAAGAAUCCUGUAAUCAAAAUUGCAGCGUCUUUAUUCUGCUAUCUGUGUAAAGGACUGGAGAAAAUGUGAGCAUAAUUAUAAGAACAAGAGGUUUAUAAUAGAUUCUAAAAUCAUAGGGUUGGCAGUUGCUUCCCAAGAUCCCUCUGUUAUGAGCACAUUGAGCAAAAUCUGGCUUUGAUUUGCCUUUGGAGCACAAAGGUACAAAAUGAUUAUAUUUCUGAGUCAUCGGGCGGAGGGGUCUGGAAAGUCGGAUUGACCCUUACUCCUCCCUCGUGACUGCCAUCAGAUAACCAGUUCUGCAAAUCUUCGUUAAAUUCACUAUUUUUUGGUAGCCGUGGACGUUUUGGCAAGAGAGGAUCCACGUAUAAGGUAGGCUUCGUCGCUGGGGCAUUGCUGACGGAAUGAUGUCUGGACCUGUGCGGCUUUACCUGGCUGGGCGCUUCCGCUUGGUGGAUGGGAACCGACGGCAUCAGACCGUGCGCGUCCCAUUUCCUGUUUUGCCGAAAGAACAACUAUGGAAGAGACGUGCUUCCGUCUCGUGUAAUAAGUCAACGGAAAAGAACUUCUUUCGGAUUCUUUUGAAGUAAUCACAAGGAGUUUUUGAAAUCUCAGCAAAGGGAAUACCCCAUGUGUUUCUUUUCCUUCUUUGUCUGAUUCUCUGUCAUGGAAAUGAUGAAAGAAAUGCCUUAAGAAGACGACUCUGAAACUUCUGACAUUUUACAGCAAAUGUGAAAGCUGAGUAGUCGCAGGAUUAGUUCCUUGAGAAUGCAUAGUUACAAUUUAAAAAGCUAGAGAAGCUUUUGAGGAGAACUGACCUGAAGCACUAGAAGCAUAUAAAAUUCUAGAAAAGGCUUAAACUAAAAAUUCGAAUGAUUAAGAAAGAAAUACCAGAUCAAAUUCUGUAGGUAACAUGAGGCCUGGAAUGGAUGAAAAAUAGUUAAGAUUUACUAAGAAAGAUACCAAACCUCUUUUGCAUGUCACAGUCUUUAAAAAGCUUCCUUUAAAGGUAUGUGCUUUACUGCUUAUCAUUUUCUUUAUUCUGAUAUUUUAAUGGAUUUGUAACAUUUAUGAAAAAUACAGUCUGUAUGUUUAUAGCAGGUGUAAUGAACCAUGGCACACACAGAGUCUUUGGUAGCUGUGUGUUUUGGCCAGGGGUCAGCACCCUUGCUAGCAUGAAUAGCCACAUAUGAUCAUAAGAAAACACGGACGAGAGUAAAAAUGGUUCCAGAACGCCGGUGCUAAAACCCAAACCCUUAAGCAGGCAUUUGGGCAGAAGGAAAAAGCAUGGCAGACUGAAUCCUGGCUUCUCUGAAUCCUUUCUGAUCUGUCAAUACCUAUGCCAUUUUGAUUUUCGACCUUACCUGAUAUCCCGUGUGGUAAUACAAACAAUUAGACGAGACUUCGGCAGGUUUUCCAAGCUUACUUCCAGCUCUGCGAGCCUAGGAGAAGACCUACGCGCAUAUUCACACGACUCUUCACAGCACCGUGGUUUGCAGCGGGAAAGAAUGGUAGCGACUAAGUGCCCAUCAAUAGGGGAAUUAAGAAAUCCCGAUAUACCCUCAUUCCCUAUAUUGGGCAACAAUAAAAAUGAAUGAGGUGUGUCUCUGUAUUCUCAUGUAAAAUCUACAAGGUCGUCUUUAUUGAAAAAAUUUCAAAAAAGAGAUACAAAACAAUACUACUUGUGUAAAAAGAAUCAAAAUCAGAGAAAUUAGUACCGCUGUAUGUGCAUGUAAAUUCAGAAAAGGGCCCUGGAAGAAACAUCUCAGAUCAGUGAAAAUACUUACCUCUCUUGAUGGUACCAGAAUCAGGGAUACAGAGCCGGUUGGCCGAAAAGACUUUCCUCUUAUUUCCAGUGCCCUCCUUUUUCUGAGGGGAGUGCUUCCUGGUAUUAAUUAACUGGACUUCUUUGUAAGCUUGCCAGGGCAUUGGAAAAAAGCCUGAGUGGGAUGCGUGGCAGCGUCCGUGGUCUUCCUCCUUCAUGUCCAGGUCGUACCCCUCUGAUGUGGCAAAACCUCUGGGGACGCGACAAGGCGACUGGCGUUACACCAGCCCUCCCUCUGGGCUGGAGCAGAGUGGGGUGGGCGGCAGGGUCUCCCCCAGAUCUCAACUGUUUGAGAGCAUGUUCCUCUGGGUGUAAAACAGCCCAUCUGGGGGUGUCUGUUCUCUCUUCCUGCCGCAGCAGUUACAUGGGGGUCUUCCCAACUAAUGAAUGAAAAACAUGUGUUUUUCAGAAGACACAUAGGCUGUAAUAAAACAAGGUAUCAAUGAUAUACUGCAGAGCUCAUUCGGGAUGCAGAGCGAAGGUUUCAGGGGAUGUUACUGUAUUUAUCCCGGUGAGGGAAAGACAGUAAGCUUUAUGAGGGAAGGGCUAGGCAGGUUUUAGCCACCUCUGUUUAGGCACAAGGCCUGGUAAGUAAUUGAUAAAUGAAUCGAUGGAUGAAAUAGAGGACUAGAACGGCCAACUUUUGAUGUGGAGGAAGAAAGGCUUUUAAGCGAAAUCGUGUUUAAUUUUUCUAUUAUCUUAGAAGAUAGAGAUGAAGCCACCUUGUAGACUGCAGAGCAAUUUAAAGGUCAUUGUUGCUGUUGUAGUGAAAAUAACACAAGUAAAUAUCCACUGUGUGCCACUCAUUCGUCUACAAAAAAGGGAUAUGGGGGGAGAAGGAGCUGCACCACAAACAGCUGACAUUACAAGCAGUUUCCCCCGGGGGCCUUCCUCAAACGUAACCAGCUGCACCCCGAAGCUAAAGAAGCAGCGCAGUCCUGACACUGCUGCCGUGUCCUGGCUUUGGCAUGAUCCGAGAUGGCCCUGGUAGAGCCACAGUAAUGACCAGUCCCACGAACCAACCCUUCAGAACUUACUCUGAGCCAGGCACCCUUCUGAGGUCUUAACAGGUGUCAACCUUACCCGUUUCCACCCCCCAGUUAAGGAGGUAAUACCUGCUUGUUGUAGAAAACAUACAAUUCUGAAAGACUGAAUUCCUGAUUAUCCGUGAUAAAUCUUUCAUUUUAACACUUAUAAAGUUAUUUUGUUCUUGGAGGAUUACAUUAAUUUUCUUAAAAUCCGUCUUAGGCCUCGUUUUUUAAUAGGCUGCACAAUAUAUUUAUAUAUUUUCAUAGGGAAUAGUUUUGGCCUUGCUUUUGCCAUGUUUUGUGAAUCUUGGUUUUUUUAUUUGUUUGCUUGAUUUUAUUUUUUCUGCUCUGCUGUUUCCUUGGCUUUCAGCGUUUCACUAUAUUGACUAUAUUUUGAUUUUUUAACUUAUACACUUAUUUGGAAGAUACGCCUGUUUAUGACACACAUAAUUCAAUCUGUACGUCUUUAAUUCUCGAAGAUAAGCACAAAGGGACCACAUUCAUUGCCCUUGGGGCCGAGCAGAGAAUUUAGCAGCCUGGCCAAUGUCGUGUCACAUCCGAAUCUUCAUUCAUUGUCUGUGGUUGUAGAUGCAACACAUGAUUGUGUAAUUAUUAUCUUCACCCUUUAAAGCUUUCCCCUGUAUACCUUUUCCAAUAGCUGCUUUUGGAUUUACCGCUAAAACUCAUCCCCAGUGCUGUAAAUGCAUCUCAUAGCCAGAUCUGUAAACAUAUUUUAUCACUUUGUGAUAAUAUUGCCUAGUGAAAUAAUGAGAAUUAUAUACGUAUGUAUUUAAUAUUUUUAUGUUCCGGAUCCAGUGCUGUAUGUACUAUUUAAGUGUACAUUCGCUGUCUCUGUAAAUGGUGACUAUUCGGUGGAAGUGCCUAUUUUUGUCUCCAUUUUCUUAUAGAAGGAUCGGACAUUUAACUAGAUUAAGCAGUUUAUCCAAGGACAGUACAUUAGGCUGGUGGUGCCCAAGCUGAGAUUUGAACGCAGCACCAGCAGAAAGAAGGCUGACCUUUUGGGGGUUCCCUUCGUGGCUCAGUGGUUAAGAAACCCAACUAGGAUCAAUGAGGAUGUGGGUUCGAUCCCUGGCCUUGCUCAGUGUGUGGUUAAGGAUCUGGCAUUGCCGUGAGCUGUGGUGUAGGUUGCAGACGUGGCUCAGAUCCCGAGGUGCUGUGGCUGUGGUGUAGGCUGGCAGCUGCAGCUUUGAUUCAACCGCUAGCCUGGGAACCUCCAUAUGCCAUGAGUGCGGCC